rnacentral:siRNA from 1 species
GGUGGUGAUGGUUUGGCCUUACA